rnacentral:rRNA from 1 species
UAAGGAAUAUUGCUCAAUGGGAGAAAUCCUGAAGCAGCAACGCCGCGUGGAGGAUGAAGGGCUUUCAGCUUGUAAACUCCUGUAAAGAAGGAAAAAAUUCCCAUUAGAUGGGAAAUGAUGGUACUUCUAAAGUAAGCCCCGGCUAACUACGUGCCAGCAGCCGCGGUAAUACGUAGGGGGCAAGCGUUGUCCGGAUUUACUGGGUGUAAAGGGUGCUCAGGCGGAUUUGUAAGUCAGAGGUGAAAUCUCACAGCUUAACUGUGAAACUGCCUUUGAUACUGCAAGUCUAGAGUAUGGAAGAGCGUGAUGGAAUGUCUGGUGUAGCAGUGAAAUGCGUAGAUAUCAUAUAGAACAGCAAUGGCGAAGGCAGUCACUUGGUCCAUUACUGACGCUAAAGCACGAAAGCGUGUUUAGCAAACA